rnacentral:piRNA from 1 species
UUUUUUGGGAUGUCAGUGCUACAAGGGCUGG